rnacentral:rRNA from 1 species
UGGGGAAUAUUGCACAAUGGGCGCAAGCCUGAUGCAGCGACGCCGCGUGGGGGAUGACGGCCUUCGGGUUGUAAACUCCUUUCGCUAGGGACGAAGCUUUUUGUGACGGUACCUAGAUAAGAAGCACCGGCUAACCACGUGCCAGCAGCCGCGGUAAUACGUAGGGUGCGGGCGUUGUCCGGAAUUACUGGGCGUAAAGGGCUCGUAGGUGGUUUGUCGCGUCGUCUGUGAAAUUCCGGGGCUUAACUCCGGGCGUGCAGGCGAUACGGGCAUAACUUGAGUACUGUAGAGGUAACUGGAAUUCCUGGUGUAGCGGUGAAAUGCGCAGAUAUCAGGAGGAACACCGAUGGCGAGGGCAGGUUACUGGGCAGUUACUGACGCUGAGGAGCGAAAGCAUGGGUAGCGAACAGG